GGAACUAGUGGCCCCAUGAAAUUACUGAUAGGACGCAUGGAAGGUAGCUCCGUUUUGUACCAUCAAAAUAUGCAGAAGCCAGACAACAUAGUUUAGAUUGAGCCACCAUUAAAAUCGAUAGAGCAAUAUAUCCCCAAGCAACCAGGAGACAGUGAGCAGGUUAGUUAUACACAACAGCAAACCAAUCUGUGAGUAAAGCGACGCUGAGACUCAAACCAACUCUGAUUCCAAGCAAUACUGUUGGUAUGGAAGGGAACACAGAGAAUGGAGUGGAGUUCACAAGAGCCGAUGAAGCCCUAAACAGGCUGCAGAAAACCUUUCCAGUUGAAAGAGAGCCCAGUACCCAGCAGAGAGGCAGAAGUGGAAAAACAGAUAAGCACACUAGGCUACAAACAGUGACGCCCAAGACCAGUUUAUCGUAUAUUGAGACAAUAGUACUUCACCCUACCCCCAAUACAGUCAAGACUCUAUUGUCCCCAAGAACCUGUUGUUCUCUAAGAAGUAACGAUAGAAUUAGCCAAAGCCAAUGAGAUACAUGGACAUUGAAAAGACAAUAUAAAAGAGGAAAUUAGCACGGAGCCUCCAAAGAGGCUGAAAAUGUUCAUCUCUACAAAUGAUUUACCGGACACCUGGAGAUGUUAUUAUCCCCAACUACAAAGGACUAUUCCAUUUUUUUCUGAAAGGCUCCGCCAAGUGCCAUAUGGAGAGGGAUUCAGAAUGCUGCUGUCUACAAAAGAGGAUGAUGGGCAUGAUUGGGCAGUGACUUAAAAUGUCUGGAAGUUCAAUACGGGUGUUGAGAGAAGACAUGAAAGCAAGGGAUGGGGUCCCAUUUCAUAUCCUUACUGACCAGAAGGUGACAUCAACAAGGUUGAGACUCUGCCAACCGGCUGGACUACUGCAAUGCUCUACUUUCCGGCUACCCGGAUAAAGCACUAAAUAAACUUCAGUUAGUGCUAAAUACGGCUGCUAGAAUCCUGACUAGAACCAAAAAGUUUGAUCAUAUUACUCCAGUGCUAGCCUCCCUACACUGGCUUCCUGUUAAGGACCUGAGCCCUAGGACCAUGCCUCAGGACUACCUGGUAUGAUGACUCCUUGCUGUCCCCAGUCCACCUGGCCGUGCUGCUGCUCCAGUUUCAACUGUUCUGCCUGCGGCUAUGGAACCCUGACCUGUUCACCGGACGUGCUUGUUGCACCCUCGACAACU
rnacentral:lncRNA from 1 species